CCUCAUUCGCUUUUACGACGAAAUUAUUUCCUCGCUAACUUACGACGAAUUAGCGAGGAUAUAUGCGUUACGACAAACGUAUAACGACGAAACGCGUUUCCUCGCUAAUUCGUCGUAACACUGCUUUUACGACGAAGUAACGAGGAAAACUGCCCUCGUAAAACUUGUGUUUUCUUGUAGUGGAAGAGUAUGAUUAAAUAUUUUAUUGUGUUAUGUAGUAUUAGGGUAUAGGUUAAUAUAUUAUGUAUUCGUCUUUUCAAUAAUGUGUUGUUGUCUGUAUAUUAGUAUUUGUUAGUGGUGAAUUGACCUUCUAAUGUAAAGCAUAUUGAAUUUCAAUAACUUUGAAUUUAAGCAAUUGUUGAUUCUAAUAUUAACGGUUUCAGCGUCAAAAUUGUAUUUCAUAUUUUCACAUUGUUGAACAUUAUUCUUUUUUUAACAACAUUAAACAUUAUUCUUUUAAGAUGUUUUUUUUGUCUCCGCAUAUUUUGACUUGAGCUGACACCAUCUAUGUAUUUUAUUUACAUUUCUGGUAUGUGGUGUUUCUUACCAUCACCGGAAAAAGUUCACCUUUGUUUCUCUUAUUUUUCCUCUUCUUCUUCUCUUGUGAGAUUAUCUGAUAUUUGUUGUAGAUCAGGUUUACGAGUUCCAAGUUGUGCGGUUGUUUCUCAUGAUGUUGUACACUGUUCUAGUUAAUAUUUUUCCUCUUCUUCCUUAGAUUUGGCUAAUGUUAGGAACUACAUCUCCUUGGGUUGGGUCAGAGUUUAGUUGUCUUCCUCGUAGGUGGCUUGCCGUUGAUAGUCUCUGCUAGUCUUGGUUUUCAAGAUUUGGUUUUUGGUGAUCUGACUUUUUAUGUUCUCUUCAUAGCUCGAGGAUGGCUCCACAGUUUGCUGAUUUUGUGUAGUCUUUUUUUCUUUCUUUGUUCUCUCACUUCGUUGCACUUUUCAUCGCUGGUUGCGUCUCUAGUGGCUCUUCAUUUCAUAUAUAUACCACUCAAGGUUUGGAUAGUGUUUUCCUUCACGUAUGUUUUGUGGGCUUGGAAGAUUAUUUCUUGUCUCAAACUUGAGCUCUGAUUUCUCUGUGGUUGGCUUUCAUUCUCCCUCCCUUAUGUUGCUUUUCUUCUUCUCUUGCUUCCUUUGGUAUAAGUUUGUAGAGUUAGUCUCUUGGUGCUUUGGUCUCUUCUAUUCAGAGCUUUUUGGUUCUUCAUUGGUAUGAGGCUCCUUGUAUGUGGUUGUUUUGUCUGUGAGGUGCUUCAUACUUUUUAGCUGGUGGUUGUGCAUUAUGCAUGUGUUUUCCUGCUUUGUGGUGACUUUGGUCUGGUGAUUAUUCUUUCUUUGAUCAUUUUUUGUGUGUUUUGGAUUGGUGUUUGAUCGCGUUCAUUUGUGUUCCAGACUUUUAUUAAGUAAGUGUUACUAUAGUAUUCUAUUUUUUCUUUGUGAUUGUGGAGAUUUAAGUUUAGAUUAUGUCUCUUACUCUAGUUUUUUUUUAGUUUAGUUAUUUUAUGAUUUUUAAUAGUAAAAUAAAUUAUAAUUUGUAAAUAAAAUAAUAGAAAAUUAAUAAAAUAGUAAAAUUUAUGUUAUUUUUAGUUGUGAAUAAAUAAAAUAUUUAAAAUCUAUUUUUAUUUUUUUAUUUUUUCUUUAUUCAUCUCCAAUGUUAUUGACUAAUAAAAUAUAUUAUAAAACUUCAUAUAAUAAUGGUUAGUGAGAGAAAAAUAAUAGUGCACAAUUAGAAAAUACUAACCAAAUUGCAAUAGUGUAAAAGAAAAAAGACCUAAAAUAUGGCCAUGGGUAAGGAAAGUAGUGAACUAAGUAGCAAGAGUCAAGCCACAUGAGACGUGAGGGGAAGUAGUUAGUGUUGGAAUACAAUUUUUGCGUUUUGAAGAUUUUUUGCAAGUUUCAUACAAUAUAUAAAUCAAUUAAAGGCAAUUUAGUGGUUCAUACGAGUAAUUGGUCUGUCAAAUAUAUCAAUGACACUACUUCAAUAUCAAAUCCCAAAGCUUGGUUUGCUAAAAUUAUAGAAUAAAUGACAAUGGAAAAGCUUCGUAUAAAUUCUAAUACUUGAACAUGUUAUUUUAUGUUAUAUAUAUAUUUAUUUCGCUAUCCAGAAGAAGCACUAACAAAUGUACUCAUGUAUGCCAUGAACUUUAUAAUUCAUACAUGCAUUAUAUUUUAUCAACUCUCACACUUUCAAAAUUUUAAAGUCUAUAAAAACGAGAAAAAUAAAUAUGGAGUUGAUGAAUUUUUAAAACAUACUUUGGACGACGUGGAACAAAAAAUUGAAAAGGCAAAAAAAAUUUCAAACACUUAUAAAAGUAAGAUAAAUAAUAUUUAGAUAAUGAGACAUGUUUACAAUUCAACCAGUUAAAUACCAUAAUUGAAAUUUAAUUAAUUUUUUCUUAUUCAGCUAUUCACCUUAUAUAUAAUUUCCAAUAACAAAAAAAAUUGAAUACUUAAAUUUUUGAAUUGCAUAAGACAAAAACAAUGAAUCAUUUAAAAUUAUUUUAUACUAGGGGUUGUCCCGUCCUACGGGCGGGUGAUUUUAAACUAAAAUGAUUUUAUAUUAAAAUAUUUUAAUUUAAAUUUACUUUGUUACUAAACUAUAAAUGUAAUCUAUUUUUAUUCUAAAAGUAUACUGUAAAUUUUAUUAAAUUUUGUUGGUUUGAGUUGAAAAGACCACUAACAUUUUUUUGUUAGAGAACACAAAAUUAUUAAAUUUAGAAAUUAAGAAAAAAGUAAAUAUUUAUAUUUUUCUAUUUGAUUUAUAUUUCAGUUUUAUAUAGUUGAAGAAAAUCUAAGGUAAAAAUAACUAAUAUUUUAUUUCUAAGAUUAUCAGAUUUUAAUAUUAUUACAAUAACUAAUUUUCACGAGAAUAAAUUAAUACACCCAUCUCCAA